CUUAUAUACAGUCUAUGGUUUCUGGUUUGACUACAACGCUCAAUGCUACGACCAGACGAGUACCCAAGCAAAAUGUUUGUCUACCAUUUGGAAGUGGACGGAUGCUGUGCUGUAGAGUUUCUCAAGCUUCUCUCGCCCUCCCUCAAGCAGGACUAUUGGCUCACUGUCCUGGAGGCCAGCUCCUUCAUUGCUCCAGACUGAAGAUGGGAGAGUUGAAGGACGUGGUUAGGCAGUAUGUUUGAGCCAUUGUGAAGGUGAUGCCCAAAAUGGAUCCUGCCAGCGAAGGUUUUCCCUUCAUAAUUGGUGGAACCACUCCAACCCGAGAGCUGACUCGUGCACAGGAAACUCUGCCAGGCCCACAGCAGCAGCCACUGGUACAGUCGCAGGUCACAACCGAAGUUCAGCCUGGGCCUCCACCUGCUGCACACGUUGCCUGAGCUGCAGCAGUACAACCUGAAUUGACCUGGCACAUUUCAAGCAGAUGGACGAGGUGUUGGACCAAGAUGGCAUGUCUGAAGUGAUGUUCAACAUCGGCUGUGUUGCAGCUGUGUGUCAUUCACAGCACGGACGCUGGUGUCCACUGUGUACCCUGGGAACACAGCUGUAUUGUGGGCUUAUUGCUGAUGAGCAACACAGAGGGAAGUCCGGUUUUGCUACGUUAAUCUUCAAAUGAAUUUAGGCUUCAGUGUCAUCGCCACAAAAAACGUGUUCCAGACACAUACUGUAAAUAUGCACCAACACUGUCACAUGUAUUUCUAAUCGUCCUUGUCAUAGCAUCCGGCUGUUCAGUAAACCCUUUGAGUCAGAGCAGUUGCGUACAUCACAGGAAUGACUUGCUGUAUACUGAAGCUGUUUUGCAGAGGUGACUGGAAUGGGUUGACAGUCCCUGUGGAUUCGUCCUGAAGGGAUUUCAGUUUUUGUGAUUGCUUUGCAUCAUCAGAGGCCACAGCUCAUCUUAAAUAUCUGCAUGUUCUCUGUGAGGUUCUGUCAGCCAGCAGUGAGCCUCAGGCUUGGUAAUGUGUGCAUUUGGUCAAAGGUUGGGGCAAUAUGACAUGAAACUUGUAUCAUGAUAGUCAUAACUCUAAAUCCCUGUAAACAAGAUUGUCUUUUGAAGAAACGUAACCCGACGUCACAUGAUUGGCCAACUUGUGUUGGCCAAUCAUGUAACUGGCGAUCAGACUUGGCAGUCCCGUUUUUAGGCAGUGUGUUUUGUACAGUAAACCUGAAUAUAUCACUGCCACAAGAACGUUUUAAACACUAAGGGUAAAAAAAACGAAACGCAAGCUCUUAACUCACCAGGAGUCUGUGCAACAAGCGCCAGCACAAAGCAGUCCCUGGUUCUCUUUUCUUUCGAAUUAAAAUGAAGCUGCCUUCAAGUGCGGUUGGAAAUUCAGAUCUAUAAACGAUCUGACGGAAAACGAUAAUUGUGAAAUAUAAACUCUACUUGUGCUCCAUUGGAGGGUUAAAGAACACAAAUGGGUCAUUUAAGUGACACUCACAAUCCUGCGGCGAAUUGCUUUUUCUGAUCUGAAGAUAUGUCAACUGCUUGUAAAGCACUUUAAAUGAAUUUGAUUGUUUCAAUUCAAUCAAUGAUGACGACCAAUCAGUGAUGUAGGAAUGGAAAUGUAACUGAAAUGUUGAGUUUUUGUAAAUUAUAGUGUGGUCUAGACCUGUAAAGUGUCCUGAGAUGACUCCUGUAAUGAUUUGACAAGAUAAAUAAAAUUGAAUUAAAAUGAAUACCUGGCAUUUCCUCAGGUGUCUGAGAAGAAA